rnacentral:lncRNA from 1 species
CUCAAGAGCACAUUUUUCAAGACCAGGCAGAGGGAGGAGGCUGCGUAGGGUGGAAAUGGUGCUCUAGGCAGGCCACAGCUGGAGUAAAGCCAUGAAGAUCAGAACCAACUGAGUUAUUCAGAGAACCACCGUGGUUUGGGUAUUGCCGGAGAGCCCAGCACAAAGAAGAGUGGAGGGAGGCUGGCUGUGGAGGCAGGUGGGGACCAGACCAUGGCCGCUUGGGAGUUUGGACCAGACACUGCUGUACAAGCCAGCCCACAGGGAGGACUGGGCAGAUCUAGGCAACAAGCUGCUCUUCUCCUCUCUGGGUGACCCCAGACAUGACUCCUCACUGUGGGAUUUUACCAGGCAACCAAAAUUGGAUGCUUAGAGCAGGAAGAAGAGUCUACAGAGGGACUCAAGGGCAUUUUGGCUUUGAAUGGCCGAAGCCUAGCUCCCCAGGCCCAGGCACAAUGGUGAAUGUAUUUGCUCAUGCAACUGGGGAAUCAAGGGACACUCAUGUUCAGGAAUGGUUGGAUCCAGAGGCUCAAGCCUUCCUUUCAGGCUUCUUUCUCUCCAGCUCUCUGAUGAGUCUCUCUCCACAGGGCCCCAGCCACCGAAGGCUCAAAAAAAAAAAAAAAAAAAAAAAAAAACCCUGCAUGGGGAGUUGUGAGAAUCUGAAGCCUGAUACUGCACAGAAAACCUGUGAAGCCACUGGGUCUGGCCUGGAAUGGAAGGCUAAGUGAAUGUGGGAAUAAAGUUUCAAGUGGGGAAAAUGAAACCAAUAAGAUUUUUUAAAAUACAGUCGGUUAUGUAUGUGUGGGUUCUGAGGAUCG